rnacentral:lncRNA from 1 species
CUCCGAUCAGUGUGGACUUUCUUUUGCAGGCACUCGUUCCCGGCGAUCAGGCGACGAGGGGAUUGGCCGCAACAGAUUGGCGUGCUAGGAAGGGGGGCAGCGACAAGUUAGUGCUUCAUUGACAGCACCAGGGAUUGUAACCCCCACGGGAUCCAAGAUGACAAAGACAAGAGCUCAGCGGUCGAGGGUCACUGGAUCGGCGAGGCACUCUUCCCG